GAUGAACGCUGGCGGCGUGCCUAAUACAUGCAAGUCGAUCGAACGGACGAGAAGCUUGCUUCUCUGAUGUUAGCGGCGGACGGGUGAGUAACACGUGGAUAACCUACCUAUAAGACUGGGAUAACUUCGGGAAACCGGAGCUAAUACCGGAUAAUAUUUUGAACCGCAUGGUUCAAAAGUGAAAGACGGUCUUGCUGUCACUUAUAGAUGGAUCCGCGCUGCAUUAGCUAGUUGGUAAGGUAACGGCUUACCAAGGCAACGAUGCAUAGCCGACCUGAGAGGGUGAUCGGCCACACUGGAACUGAGACACGGUCCAGACUCCUACGGGAGGCAGCAGUAGGGAAUCUUCCGCAAUGGGCGAAAGCCUGACGGAGCAACGCCGCGUGAGUGAUGAAGGUCUUCGGAUCGUAAAACUCUGUUAUUAGGGAAGAACAUAUGUGUAAGUAACUGUGCACGUCUUGACGGUACCUAAUCAGAAAGCCACGGCUAACUACGUGCCAGCAGCCGCGGUAAUACGUAGGUGGCAAGCGUUAUCCGGAAUUAUUGGGCGUAAAGCGCGCGUAGGCGGUUUUUUAAGUCUGAUGUGAAAGCCCACGGCUCAACCGUGGAGGGUCAUUGGAAACUGGAAAACUUGAGUGCAGAAGAGGAAAGUGGAAUUCCAUGUGUAGCGGUGAAAUGCGCAGAGAUAUGGAGGAACACCAGUGGCGAAGGCGACUUUCUGGUCUGUAACUGACGCUGAUGUGCGAAAGCGUGGGGAUCAAACAGGAUUAGAUACCCUGGUAGUCCACGCCGUAAACGAUGAGUGCUAAGUGUUAGGGGGUUUCCGCCCCUUAGUGCUGCAGCUAACGCAUUAAGCACUCCGCCUGGGGAGUACGACCGCAAGGUUGAAACUCAAAGGAAUUGACGGGGACCCGCACAAGCGGUGGAGCAUGUGGUUUAAUUCGAAGCAACGCGAAGAACCUUACCAAAUCUUGACAUCCUUUGACAACUCUAGAGAUAGAGCCUUCCCCUUCGGGGGACAAAGUGACAGGUGGUGCAUGGUUGUCGUCAGCUCGUGUCGUGAGAUGUUGGGUUAAGUCCCGCAACGAGCGCAACCCUUAAGCUUAGUUGCCAUCAUUAAGUUGGGCACUCUAAGUUGACUGCCGGUGACAAACCGGAGGAAGGUGGGGAUGACGUCAAAUCAUCAUGCCCCUUAUGAUUUGGGCUACACACGUGCUACAAUGGACAAUACAAAGGGCAGCGAAACCGCGAGGUCAAGCAAAUCCCAUAAAGUUGUUCUCAGUUCGGAUUGUAGUCUGCAACUCGACUACAUGAAGCUGGAAUCGCUAGUAAUCGUAGAUCAGCAUGCUACGGUGAAUACGUUCCCGGGUCU
rnacentral:rRNA from 1 species